UCACUUCACGUUAAAUGAUCAAAAAAGCCAUCUUUACAAGAACACCAAUCAAUACCCAUUUCCAUAUACUUCUCAAAUUCUCAUCCACAUCUUCCACAGCUCAAGCUUCAUCAUGUCUCGCCGACCUCAGGACCUGCAUUGCAUCACUGCAAGCAUGUGCCCACCACAGGAACCUCACAACAGGUAAGAAACUCCACUCCUACUUGUUCAUCAAUGGCUUCCACAGCUCCCCAUUUUCCAUCACGAGCCUAAUCAACAUGUAUUCCAAGUGUAAUCGCAUUGCCGAAGCCUUAUUAGUAUUUGAUUCAUCGACCCAUGAUCACAACGUAUUCGCUUAUAAUGCAAUCAUUGCUGGGUUCAUCGCCAAUGAGUUACCAAAACCCGCAAUUGAGUUUUAUUGUAGAUUGCGGUGCACUGGUGCUGUGCCGGAUAAAUUUACAUUUCCCUGUGUAGUUAGAGCUUGUUCGGAUGUUUUGGAUGUUUUAGGGGUUAGGAAGAUUCAUGGGUUGUUGUUUAAACUUGGGUUGGAUUUUGAUUUAUUUAUAGGAAGUGCUUUGGUUCAUGCGUAUUUGAAAUUUGGGUUCAUGGAAGAGGCAGUAGAGGUGUUUGAAGAAUUACCCGUUAGAGAUGUAGUUCUUUGGAAUGCAAUGAUUAAUGGGUAUGCACAGAUGGGGCAGUUUGAUAUGGCAUUGGAGGUUUUUAGGAGGAUGGGUGAAGAAAGAAUUGUUCCAAGUAGAUUCACAGUUACUGGGGUCUUGUCCGUUUUUGCCAUGAUGGAGGACCUAAAUAAUGGGAAGGCAGUUCAUGGGUUGGUAGUGAAAAGAGGGUAUCAUUCAGGCAUUGCAGUUUCAAAUGCCUUGAUUGAUAUGUAUGGAAAAUGCAAAUUUGUUGAAGAUGCAUUGGGGAUUUUCGACACGAUGGUUGAGAAGGAUAUAUUUUCAUGGAACUCUAUUAUAUGUGUUCAUGAACAGUUUGGUGAUCAUGAUGGAACCCUAAAACUUUUUGUAAGGAUGUUAAGGUCUGGAUUUCAGCCUGAUUUGGUCACAGUCACAACCAUCCUUCCAGCUUGCUCUCAUUUGGCGACAUUGAUGCAAGGUAAAGAAAUACAUGGGUACAUGAUUAUUAAUGGGUUGGGCAAGGAUGGUGAUGAUGUAUAUGUGAAUAAUGCUGUUUUGGACAUGUAUGCAAAAUGUGGGAGUAUGAGGGAAGCUCACUUGGUUUUUGAUAGGAUGGGCUAUAAAGAUGCAGCAUCAUGGAACAUCAUGAUUAUGGGUUAUGGCAUGCACGGGUUUGGCAUUGAAGCAUUAGAUAUGUUUUGUCGCAUGAUUGAAGUGGAAUUGAAGCCCGAUGAGGUCACAUUUGUGGGGGUUUUGUCAGCCUGCAACCAUGCAGGUUUUGUGAGCCAAGGGCGUGACUUCCUGGCACAAAUGCCAUUGAAAUAUGGUGUUGUUCCAACUAUUGAACACUAUACUUGCGUGAUUGACAUGCUAGGUCGAGCUGGACUGGUGGAGGAGGCGUAUGAGUUGGUAUCGACAAUGCCAAUUGAUGCAAACCCAGUAGUAUGGAGGGCUGUAUUAGCAGCAUGUCGACUCCAUAGAAAUGAAUCCCUGGCCAAAGUUGCUGCAGAGAGGCUGUUUGAGCUUGAACCAGAGCACUGUGGAAGUUUUGUAUUGAUGUCAAAUGUUUAUGGAGCAGGUGGUAAAUAUGAAGAGGUAUCGGAGGUGAGACAUAUAAUGAGGCAACGAAAUGUGAGGAAGACACCAGGUUGUAGCUGGAUUGAACUCAGUAAUGGUGUGCAUGUUUUUGUUACUGGGGUCAUGCGCUGCAAAAAAAAAGAGGCUUAUGUCAACACGUUACAUUGAUGCUGCCGCUGAUGAUACCAGGCUUAAGAAUGUGCACUUGUCUGAGAAAUCUUUGGUUGAUAACAACGUAAAUUGCAUCAACAAGUUAUCUGUUCUUGAGCUUCUGCCAUUUCAAGGAUUUUGAACUCUAUUUGCUACACAGCCAAUGCUUGAAGAAGGUACCAUUAAUAUGCUACUCUGGCAGGUGGUGAGAUAUUUUUUACAUGAUGGUAAAAUGUGCCAUUAGCAUGAGUCAAGUCACUGAUUUAAAGCCCUAGUACUGUUGCUUCAUUCACCAAUGGUUAGAAAAAACAAAUACCUGACCAGGUUGCAUCACAAUCUUUCAGUCUGCAUCAUCCAAAGUCAUUCAAUUUUCUUCUCUUUUGGCUCAUCAGCAUUUCCAUGGGCAGGUGAGACAUACAUAUUAAUGUCAUUAUUGCUCCUAACCAUUGAAUUUUAUGUGGGAUAUGGACAUCAAGGAGCCCCUAGCUUAUAGGCAUGCCAAAAUUGGUGGGUCCCACAAGGUCCUCUAGCAUCAUUUUAGUCAUAUUGUACACAGUUGAUAUGAAUAUGUUAUCUUUUCAUUUUUCUAAAGAGUUUGUUGUUUGGAUGGAAAAUGUUUGCAAGCAUGCAGACUUUGAUGACUAGAAUAUUUAUGAGUUGAUAGCAAGGAGGUGGGAGGUGACAUGUAAUAACUGUUAAGGCAUGGUUAGUUUAGGGUGCAGCAACACAAUGUGCUCUUGUCAUUUUUCAUGAUCAUAUAAUAGUAAACAGAUUAAUUUUUUUAUUUUUUAUUUAGAAAAAAAAAGAAAAAAAGAAAAGAAAAGAAAGGUUUUGUUUCUAAUAAUACAUCUACCAGGUGAUUGUUAUGAACAUUCAUGUCAAUCAUUAGAUUGCAACUCUUUUUCUUUUGAAUUGUGGAGAAGUUAUACAUGGAAGAGAUUUUCCUAUCCUUUUUUAAGUUCAAUACCUUUGAGGUUAAUUUAUCAGUAAAUGGAGAGUGUUAUCGAAAGCUACCAGGAUAUCUUGGCAUAUUUAGGAUUUUCACUUUCAGUAGAAAGGGAAAAUCAUGAAGAGGAUAACCCAAUUCUGGCUGCGAUUCACAGAACAAAAGGGAAUGCUGUGAUCAUUCUUGCAAUACUGCAUCGAAAAUAGGGACUAUGACAUUCCACAUUGCCUUGGGGGAGAUUGUUGGCACUUAUAUGUGUGGAUGUCUCUUAAUUGUGUAGACGCAUUUUGAAAACCAUGAGCACGAAGAAUGCGUAAAGCAGACAAUAUCUGUAUAGCGAAGCGGAGCGUGACAAAUGGUAUCAGAGUCAAUCCCUGGCUGAAAAGGGGGAGCGUGAACAAGCCCAGUCAAACCAACGAGGAUGUGGGUCCCAAGAAGGGGUGAUUGUGACGUCCUACAUCGCUUGGAGGGAGGUUGGCUGCCGGAUAAUAUCUACAUAACUUGCCGGGUUGUGACACUAUUCGGAUAUUGACAUUCUUGCUUUGAUGAAACUUAUUGAGAAGCACUAAGCACAUUUUGAGCUUGGUUGCUUAGAAGAGGAGUGUAGAAUCUAUAGUUUUAAGCAAUAGAGUUUGAGUCGUCAUCUUUAUGCAGUCUUACAUUUGUGUUUCAUGGAAAUGAUACCAUUAGAAGCAUUAAGGUUACAUCUAAUCACAGACACUGCGACUAUGACAAUUAUUGUUACUUCAUGACUUCAGAUUUUGUUGACAUAAAAGUGGAAAAUGCCCUUUUAGAGAACUUCCUCAAAGUAGUGAAUUCAACACUUACAUCUAGAUAAGGUUGUGAUGGACAAGCAGUUUCUAAAAAUAGGGUAUUGGCAUGAGGUAUGUAAAAUAAGACAAAUUGUUUAUGGUGGUUAAUACAAGGAGGUCAAAAUGGUUGAUCAAAUACCCCUUUAAAUAGUGUCGGCAUGAAUGUCCUUUUCUAGACUAGUUCUAGGAGUUUAAUGAUGUCCUGUACCAUUUUGGACAAGAACGAUAAUAUGGACCCUCGGUAGGACACCACCUGACAGGCACCGUGAUUAAAUUCAUUGUUUCUUUUUCUUUUCUUUUUUUUUCUUUUUUUUUUUUU